GAGGCGAUCAGUUAACUGAGGACUUACAGUACAUGUAUACAGCCAUUCUGGUCAAUAUACUCUGUCCCAGGUGACAGAGUACUUGACAGGCCUUACAUAAACAUGCCAAGCACCCAAUUAUCAGU